UACAGAGGGUGCGAGCGUUAAUCGGAAUUACUGGGCGUAAAGCGCGCGUAGGCGGCUUUGCAAGUCGAGUGUGAAAUCCCCAGGCUUAACCUGGGAACUGCAUUCGAGACUGCAUAGCUAGAGUAUGGGAGAGGGAAGUGGAAUUUCAGGUGUAGCGGUGAAAUGCGUAGAUAUCAGGAAGAACAUCCGUGGCGCAAGCGCCUAUCUGGCCAUGACCUGACGCUGAGGCACGAAAGCGUGGGGAGCGAACCGG
rnacentral:rRNA from 1 species